ACGCUCGACACCUAUGGGAGGCAGCAGUGGGGAAUAUUGCACAAUGGGGGAAACCCUGAUGCAGCGACGCCGCGUGGAGGAAGAAGGUCUUCGGAUUGUAAACUCCUGUUGUUGGGGAAAAAGAGGAUGGUACCCAACAAGGAAGUGACGGCUAACUACGUGCCAGUAGCCGCGGUAAUCUGAGCGGGCUGGCAAGGC
rnacentral:rRNA from 1 species